rnacentral:rRNA from 1 species
UAAGGAAUAUUGGACAAUGGACGCAAGUCUGAUCCAGCCAUGCCGCGUGUGUGAAGAAGGCCUUCGGGUUGUAAAGCACUUUUGUCCGGAAAGAAAUCCUUGGCUCUAAUACAGUCGGGGGAUGACGGUACCGGAAGAAUAAGCACCGGCUAACUACGUGCCAGCAGCCGCGGUAAUACGUAGGGUGCAAGCGUUAAUCGGAAUUACUGGGCGUAAAGCGUGCGCAGGCGGUUUGCUAAGACCGAUGUGAAAUCCCCGGGCUCAACCUGGGAACUGCAUUGGUGACUGGCAGGCUAGAGUAUGGCAGAGGGGGGUAGAAUUCCACGUGUAGCAGUGAAAUGCGUAGAGAUGUGGAGGAAUACCGAUGGCGAAGGCAGCCCCCUGGGCCAAUACUGACGCUCAUGCACGAAAGCGUGGGGGAGCAAACAGGAUUAGAUACCCUCGGUAGUCCACGCCCUAAACGAUGUCAACUAGUUGUUGGGGACUUCAUUUCCUUAGUAACGUAGCUAACGCGUGAAGUUGACCGCCUGGGGAGUACGGUCGCAAGAUU